UAGUAAAUAUGCAACAAGAAACCUUCCC
rnacentral:piRNA from 1 species